rnacentral:misc_RNA from 1 species
UUUUAUGCUUUGUUUUUCUUAUUUCCAUUUUUCCUUCAUAUAAUUUCUAUUAAUUUUUGUUUAUGGCUUCUCUAGAUGACUUAAUUAUGGUUCUAAGUCUCUAGACUAUCCGGACUGACGCUGGUCACCGAAACAGUAAAAUUUAUAGAACUAAUAAAUGCAGGGGUAUUACAGAAGAGGAAGUAAAAAAUAACGGACCUAAAUACAGAGGUCAACCAAGUUUCUAGAAUCUUUUCCUUCUUUUGUUUUCUUCUUCUUGUCUUCUUCUUCUUAACUUCUUUUC